UGACUCUGAAGGACUAUUCUCUGGAAGGACAUUAAACGGACCAAAAUGUAUGAAUACUUGAAUACGGAUUCGCCAUGGGACCCUAGCAACCCUCCUCUUCCCAGAAUUCACCUGGCUUCUCAUUUAUUGUUGUCGUCUGCGGCUUUAGCUUGACAGUGCUAACGAUAAAAAGCCCAGAUGGAUUGUAAAUUAGCGAGAACUUAUUCCUGACAUGUAUUUUUAUCACACAUACCUUAAACAUCUGAGGUACAAUUACAAGGCUUGUGUUCACAGGUUUCAGGACACAUGGAUUACGUUAAUAUAAUAUAUAAAAAAACUGUGACAACGGAUCUUCACUGAGGCCAUCACAAGGAAACCCUAUUCGUUUUUCAUGCUGUGUUAAGUUUCUACAAGUAACCAACCUCGGCACUGGGUCGUGUACCUUCAGAUGAGAGUGAUGAGAAUAAACACAGGUGUGAACAGAGUGUUCGUACGAACAGUGGUCAACACGUGGUGCUCUCUGUCCGUGUGUCGUCUGCGCGGUGGUUUCCCGUUACUGGCUUGUCGAACCACAAACCAGGCCGGUGGCUUAUUAUUUUGAAGUGUAUACAGGGAGGUUAGGGACGUACAACGCGCAGAACUGCUGUCUACCUUGAACAUCCCGUGAAAAUGAACUACCCCGUGCGGAGGUGUUCAAGAUGGUAGCCGCUCAGUAAACCCGCCAGGCAGUGGAUUUCUCACCUGAACGACGCCAUGUUCCCUGAGCAAAGUGUUUGAAGUUUUUUUCUCUACCCUGGCGGGCGGAGAAACGUUAGACAGACAGACAAAUAUCGCGAAAGGAGAGGAUAACAUGAAGAAACAGGAAAGCAAAAGAGACAGGAUGGCUCCGGCCACCAAACUGGCCAGCCGCUCGCUGACCAACCUGCCCACCGUCACCAUCACAGACAUGGACAACCACUCGGCCUCCUCGGACCGGCUGUGUCGCCCCACCUCGCUGUGCACGCGCCUGAUGGACCAGGUGAGCGACGUCUGCUCCCAACCCCACUCGCACCCGGGCACCCCCGAGCUGCGGAGGAAGGCGUUCAGCACCUUCGUGGGCGACAUGCGCUACAUCAUCGUGGCCAACCCACCAGAGCGAGCCAAAGAUGACAGCAGUGUUGGCGCCAGAAACGGACAGCUGUCGAGGACGGGGUCGCUCACGGUCUUACGACGGACGAACUCCCGGAAGACGGGCAGCAGCAGCAGUCGGGCCUCCAGCAUCAGCAUGGACAGCGUCGACUCCUACGCCUCCGUGGACCUGGGCAUCGACAAAAUGCCGCCCAUCGAAACAGCAGAGGCAGCGCACGUGUGCUCCAUCAGAUUACGGAUGAUUGCACGACGGAUAGAGAAGGAGGAGAUACCCAAAGACGACCUCAAGAGGAAUCUAGAAUAUGCAGCGUCCGUGUUAGAAAACGUUUACAUAGAUGAGACAAGCUCCCCCGCCACCAAGCAGAAAGCUCCCAGUGCUGACAGGUAUCCCUCGUCCCUCACCAGGCGGCUGUGUGACGAGGAUGACGAGCUCAGCGAGGUGGAGCCAGAUGCUGUACCCAGCGAGGUGCGGGAUUGGUUAGCCUUGACCUUCACCCGCUCCAUGUCCAACAUGAAACGUCGAGGGGAGGACAAGCCGCGCUUCCGCUCAGUUGCGCAUGCCAUCCGCGCAGGCAUCAUGGUGGACAGGAUUUAUCGGCGAAUGUCCAGCUCUGCAGGCUUGCAUGUUCCUCCACAUGUGUUGUUGUUGUUGAAGAACCUAGAUGACUGGUCAUUCAAUGUAUUUGCUGUAAACGACGUAUCGGAUGGACAUGCGUUGAAGUUUGUCGGUUAUGAGCUGCUGCAGAAGUAUGACCUCAUCACCAAGUUUAAGAUCAACACGCAGGUCUUGGAUAGCUUCCUGUUCGCCCUGGAGGCUGGCUACAGCAAGUUUCGCAACCCUUACCAUAACCUCAUCCAUGGAGCUGAUGUUGCUCAGACCGUCCACUUCGUCUUGUCGCAGAGCCACCUGGCGCAUUGGUUGACAGACCUGGAGGUGUUUGCUACAAUAAUCGCUGCCUUGAUACACGACUACGAACACACGGGCACGACAAACAACUUCCACAUCAGCACGGCGUCGGAGGUCGCGUUGCUGUAUAACGACAGAGCAGUCCUGGAGAACCACCACAUCAGCGCCGCCUUCCGCAUGCUGCGAGAGGAUGAUACCAACAUCGCCAGCAACCUGAGCAAGGAGGAGUACAGGGAGUUUCGGAACCUGGUUAUCGAUAUGGUGCUGGCCACGGACAUGUCGUACCAUUUUCAGCAGAUCAAGAACAUGAAGAACCUGCUCAAUAUGCCAGAAAACAUUGAAAAGUCCAAAGCACUGUCCUUGGUGUUGCACUGUGCUGACAUCAGUCAUCCAGCCAAGGACUGGGAGCUACACGCCAGGUGGACAUCACACCUGCUGGAGGAGUUCUUCAGACAGGGUGAUCGUGAACAGGAACUUGGCCUACCAUUCUCACCUCUUUGUGAUAGAAAAAGCACACUUGUGGCAGAGUCACAGAUCGGUUUCAUAGAAUUCAUCGUCGACCCCAGCUUUCAAGUGAUGGGGGACAUGCUGGAGAAAGUGUUAAGUCCGCUUCACCAACAUCAGGGCUCUGGGCGGUCCGCUGUCGAGGAGUCCAUAUCAGAGGAGGUGUUCGAAACCCGGGAAAACAAACGGGACAAGAGCACCAGUACCUGUGGACUGUCACGGCCUGGGACUCCCAGAACUCCUCUGUCGCCAAUCGGACGAUACGAGCUGAAGCGACCGUGGGUGGAGUGUCUUCAACAAAACAAACUCAACUGGAAGGAUAAAGCGCUUGCAGACGCCGAGGAAAGGCAGAGGGUGGCUUCUCAGUCCUCAUCGCCAUUGCCCAUCUGAACACGUGGACAAACAGGCUGACAAGAGUCGCUCACAGACGCCGGUCAGCGCCAGUGGGAAACCACCGAGUGCCAAGUCUCCAGCAGAGAGAACACGACAAGUGGAGACCAAAGACACGAGCGCCAGCACAGCCUCACCUGUGCCGCAGCAGCAGGAGCAGCAUCAGCAGCAGUCGCCUGCUCAGCGAGACUCCGUCUCAGACUCUUCCUCUGAAAUCAGUAUUAAGCCCCUCGUCAAAGGGCAAGGCCCUUGUUACUAUUAAAAACUCUUGACCUCUGCCCUUCACCACGAUGACGUCAUCACCACUUCGUUAACGCAAGCGUAGGCGCUCAUUUCGCAGUCUGCACACGCUGAAACUCGACUUACAAGACAGAGCAAGUCACCUGCCUUGUUUGGCGUUCAAAGACCACGGUUUUUGUAAUUAUUAUUUACAUGGAUGGAGAUGCCUCUGAGGACGAGACAGCACGCGCUGCGAGCAUGACAAAAGUAUCAGACACGAGUGAUAUGGAACACUAGCAAUGAUGCAGCAGCUCACAUGAUGGUGUCAGCUGUACUUAACGUGCAUAAUAUUCCACGCAGGCCAGGGUUUGUGCUAAUUCCUCCCCCGCUACCCCCCAGUGCAAGGAGACUUCUGAGUGGCGCCCACUGUGAACAUCGUCAGAAAGCUGCAACAGACUGUGUCCAUAUGAGUUUCUUACAGGUCGUGAGUUUGAAAAUAGACUUUUUAUAUAAAAAAAACCAUUUCUGAUGAAGAAAUGACUUCAGAUUUUUAAGGCUUCCUCAGACCUCAUCUGGUUGAAAAGUAAUUUUUCAGCUGUGGGGUAUUUUUUUUGUUUUGUUGCCAUUCUAAAAUGCAUUCAUUAUUAUUAUUUUUGCUCCAUAUCUUGCUCUCCGUUUCUCAUUUCUUCGCUCUCUCUCUCUGCUUCUUCCACUUAGCUUAUGCAUUCUAUGCAGCUAAGACGCGCUGGAGGGAGAUAACUCUGCACGUCUCGUACUAGUCGAGGUUAUUUCUUUUUUAUAUUUCAUCACAUCGGCCAGGUUUCACACAUCUCUGUAUAGAUGUUCUAGCAGCUGCUGCUAGGACAAUGCUUUUGCUGCCUUAAAAUGACUCAGUUAUAUUUAUAUUACAAGUACUCAGUAAAUCAAAUGUUGCAAAUGCUUGCAAAAUGGCUGAAGCAGGAUUUUUUUAUUAUUAUUAAACCUGUUGGCAAAAACCUUUAUGGUUUAAAAUGUUGAUCGCUAAAGAAAAACCAAAAUGAAACUUGGUUGUUUUAGGUUCAAAACAAUCUCGUGCAAGUAUGGAAAAGUUCUAAGUAACAGACAUGACACAACUAGGGACAAAAGAUCUUCAUUCGGUUUGGCUGCUGCAUGACUUUGCGAGCUCAGAGCGCAAUGAUUGGCUAAUUUAAAAUCUUGAGAUGGGUGGUCCAGUACAUUUCGAGUACUCGGCCAGUUCUGUGCACAUGCGAGACAUGGCAACUUUAAAACUUGGAUGCUUGUGUAUGGGCAACAACAUUUUUCACCCAGUUCUUCAAUUCUUAUAUUAUAAGGAUGUAACCGUUAGGUACUUGCUUUGAAGGGAAAAAUGUGCUUCUGAAGAGACGAACCCAUCCUUUUUUUCGAUGGCAGAAACUUUUUUAAGUUUAAAGAAAGAGGCGCGAAGCUUUGCAGAUUGGCUUCGUCGAUGUCAAUGCAACAAUCGUCAUUUUCGCAUGUCCAUGUCAAGAAAAUACAAAUUUUGUUGGCACAAGUUUAUUCUACUGUAUUUACUGCAGGUCACGUGUCAGAGGACGCCGCAGGAAAAAAAUUCUUCAACCAUUUUUGCUCAUCGCUCGUACCACGUGAUCACUCACUACACACCUAUCGUUAAUGUAAUUUUGAAAUGCUUUUUGUUUCAUGUUUUGAUAACGUGUUUAGCAAGACAGGAAAGCUACUUAGUUCUCGCCGUGAUAUAUACCCUUAGACCCCGGCUUGAGCAAAGGACUAACAAACAGUAGUAGUACACCGUUAAGACUCGAGUUUAUGAUCAGAUUUGUUUAAUUAACUAACAUGGAGAAAAGUAACGGCAUGAUUCGAGGUUGUUUUCUUUUGCGAAAUCACCCGAGGAUCACGAGAACAUUUUUUAUAAGCUAUGAGAGGAGUGUUGUCUAGUUAGGAAAUCUUACUUAGAAACAAAUUUUUAAUCCUCGAGUCAGUCAUCAGAACAAAAGAAAAAAAAAAGUUCCAUGAUGCUUAGCUGGUGGUGAGGGACUAUCCGACUGAUUUCUGAUCCCAAUAGCUUUUUUUUUUUUUAGUUUCUGGGAAAGUAAAUGACGAGGAUAUAGAUAUGUUAUCCAUACUUGUAAUAACAUACUUUUGCAAUCAUGAAGAAAAAAUUCAGCGUUAAAUGUGGUUUUCCGUUAGUGCACGUCCGCGUUUAGUGAAUCGUUACGUCAUCAAGGAAGGGGGGAGGGUCUUUAACUCCUUCUACAAACUGUGAAAGGGCAACGGUGUGUUCCAGUAACCCCCUCUCCAGCCUCUUCCGUUACAGAUCGUCGAGCUUCUACUUCUUGUACAUAAAAUUUCAGGAAAAUAGGGCCGGCUGUUUGCUAACAUUUCUGCUGACCUGCAGCUGGCCUGAAAAAAGUUUCCAAGCUCAAAACAAAACUUGACUUGCUGUCUUUUUGAGAUGAUCGGCUAAAACUGAUGAGGACAUUUUAUAUAGACGUGCUUAUAUAGCUAAUAGGAAAGAAGUAUCUAGCAGCAAAUCUAAAAUUUAACCAGAUUAUUGAAGAAAAAAAUUAUAACGAAGGUCUUAAUAAAACGGGGGGUAAGGCAAGGCGAGUUGUUUCCCUUUCUACUUGUGUCAGUCUUUCAAAUUUUUCAUCAUUUCGAGGUGCCACAUACCGCACCGGCAAUGGAAGUUACAUACUGUGAGAGUUGUGACAAGUCAUCACUAGUAUUAAUUAAUAUUCAACACAAAUUACUAUUUGCUGUAGGAUUGCUUCUCCUGCUCACUUGCAUGCUUCUCUCCCCUGCUGCUACUUGAAACUGUCUGAAGGAUGCAGUAGACUUCUCUCAGGUGUGGUCACGUGACAGGACUGUCCUGUGAGCGUGCCUAGAGCGAAUGAUGCAAGUGUUUGAUGGCAAAUCAUUUACAGGUGAGAGAUCAACUGAAAGACUUCUUGAUGUCCUCCACACGUAAAUGUAAGAUGGAGGAUAGACAGAACUGCUGCUAUGCAGGGCCGUGCUCAGAUUUAUCGAGAGGAGUUAUCGAUGUCUAGUGUCAAACUAAAUGAGAUAUACACUGCUGUGGUGUACAGUGAGCUUUCUUAAACUGGAACCAUUUUUUUUUCUUUUUUUACUGUACGCGCACUUUACAUUCGUUGAACUUUCAUUUGUCACUCAGGUUAGCUAAAGUGCCAGUGUCGAGUUGAUUACCUUCACCUGUACACUUGUGGUAAAAUAACAUGAAGCCACACACAAAAGUUGGAAAGCAAUUGGUAGUCUAAAAGCUCCCAUAAUUUAAAAAAAAUAAGUGCGAUAGGUAGAUAUUACCAAAGCCUCCAGCAAUCUCUUGUAUUACUAAAAGAAUUUAAUUUAUGAUUUACGGGGGGAGGGAGACGUGUUCUCUUGGCUGUGCUGUCAGUUCAACAACCUCCCCCUAACAGCCUUAGUGAUCUUUAGUGGCCAAAGCACAGGACUGUCACAUGCCUGACUUUCUCACAGGUAAUCCAGUCACCUGAUGUUCCCGUGUUACUUGUUUGCAAUGAGAAUGAAACAUGUCCGUCUCUUGGUUGUUGGAAUAGCAAGCAACCGGGUUUUUUUCCAAACUGCACGUGGAAAAGUUGACAGCUGCAACAGGAGAAGGCAUGAUUUAAAAAAAAACAAUUUUACUCACAAACUUUAAACUUUCUUCAGCAGCUAUUUACACUGAUGGUGAUUCAAAUACCAUCAACUUUCAUGAGUGGAACUAGCAUUCUGCCUUGUACAAAAAACAACAAAAAAAAAAAUUUCAAAGUCUGCUUCGAUCCUUGUUGUUUGUAAUUUUUUUUAAAUGCCGCUUAAGAGGCUUAAACAUUUUUUUUAUGAGAGCACGAAGAAAGGUAGGUAAAUAAAACAGACUUCGAUACCUUUCACCAUUAUGUCUCCUUUAGCAUUUCAACCCUUGCAGUGAAAAUUGUGUCAACAGAACAACAAUUCCUCUCUUACCACAAGUAAGAAAAUGCUGAUUCACACUUCCUGAAGUAGGGACACAAAAGUUCAUCCAUGAUAACGGUUGUGGUUCACAGCACCAAAGCUUGAGCUAUGCAGCAUGUGAGCUGUCUUGCUUGGAAAAAUCAUAACCACAUACUUCCAACUGAUUCUCUCUCCCUUGACAAUCUCAUUUACUAUAAUUAUCUACAUCUCGUACAAUUUUCCAUCUAAUUUCAUCUUAAUCGCCCCACCCUUUUUUUUUAACCGAAAAAGUACAAGUGGCAGAGACUAGGAAGCUGCUUGCAUGUCUUCCCAGUUUUUUCGGACAGGAUACAACUGCAGCAAGUGGUCAGACAAGUGUAAACACUUAGUGCUCACAGGGUGUGUCCCUUUCUUGUUUCCGCAUGUAGGUUUGGCUUCACUGUAAAUACUUGACUGACGAGUUGCUUUACAAAAGUGCUCGCCGAGUAUUUUCUGUUAUUUCGGAUCUGUGAUGUAUUUUUAAAAAAACCUCAAGUAGUCGCAAGUUUUAAAUUCUUAUAUAUAUCUGAAGUAAUCAUCUAACAUGCAAAGUAUGUCUUUCAACUCUGAUUGUUUCUCCAUGUGUGAUUGGCUGUUACCAUGUUAUCAGGCUCAGUUGAAGAACGAUGGUACUGUUUCAUUCAAUAAAAGAACUAUAACCUUCUCUUGUGCUUUUUUAUUCUCUUAGUGAAGUUUCAUAAGGUGGAAAGGUGCACGAAGCACUCAAACAAUUCUCGAUAAUUUGAUGCACUGUUUGAAAACACCAAUAAGAGACUCAUUAAAAAUAUUUUUUAAUGAAGCAAAUUUUAUUUAUUAAUUUUUUUGUAUUAUUAUUUAUAUAUUUGCAGCUGUAACAAUAACAAACAAAAUCAACAUUAGGGAUAACCAUGAUGGGAUCUCACAGAAUAUUUCUUUUUUCUCCACUCCUUAUAAUCGUUCAUUGAAAGUGAACAUUUUAAACUCAUCUUCUCUUUUCUGUAUAUUUACACGAAAUAUGCACAUAUGCGACAUAACAGGAAAGAAUCUUCUACGGCUGUGUACAUGAACAAAAUGAAUAAAACCAUCUUCUCAAGA
rnacentral:misc_RNA from 1 species